rnacentral:ncRNA from 1 species
GCUUAUUCUCAGGGCGGGGUGAAAUUCCCCACCGGCGGUAUCCUGCCUUGGCAGGGAGCCCGCGAGCGCCCGACGGUCGUCGGGGUCAGCAGAUCCGGUGCGAGGCCGGAGCCGACGGUGAUAGUCCGGAUGAAAGAGGAUAAGG